rnacentral:lncRNA from 1 species
AUUUCGUUGGGGGAAGUAUUGAUAGGUACCGAAAGGCAUAUUACCGUAAGAGGAGGGGUAAAGAAUCAAAGGAAGAGAGUGAGGAAGUAACAGAAGAGGAGGGAACAGAAGAAGAAUAAAAGAAACCUUUGGAUUGAAAGAGAGUAUUUGCAGUUAUUCAUUUCAUAUCGUUAGACGAUAUUAAAUAAGGAGUAUAGUGUUCAUUGGAAAGGUAUGCUUUUGUAUGUGAUUGUAGAGAGACGAUAUG